rnacentral:rRNA from 1 species
CAUAAAGCCCACCGGCUCGGCAUCGAGCAGAGGGAAAAGGAGCAAUCCGCUUUGAGAUGGCCUCGCGUCUGAUUAGCUAGUUGGUGAAGGUAACGGCCCACCAAGGCGACGAUCGGUAGCCGGACUGAGAGGUUGAACGGCCACAUUGGGACUGAGACACGGCCCAGACUCCUACGGGAGGCAGCAGUGGGGAAUAUUGCACAAUGGGGGAAACCCUGAUGCAGCGACGCCGCGUGGAGGAAGAAGGUCUUCGGAUUGUAAACUCCUGUUGUUGAGGAAGAUAAUGACGGUACUCAACAAGGAAGUGACGGCUAACUACGUGCCAGCAGCCGCGGUAAAACGUAGGUCACAAGCGUUGUCCGGAAUUACUGGGUGUAAAGGGAGCGCAGGCGGGAGAACAAGUUGGAAGUGAAAUCCAUGGGCUCAACCCAUGAACUGCUUUCAAAACUGUUUUUCUUGAGUAGUGCAGAGGUAGGCGGAAUUCCCGGUGUAGCGGUGGAAUGCGUAGAUAUCGGGAGGAACACCAGUGGCGAAGGCGGCCUACUGGGCACCAACUGACGCUGAGGCUCGAAAGUGUGGGUAGCAAACAGGAUUAGAUACCCUGGUAGUCCACACCGUAAACGAUGAUUAAUAGGUGUUGGAGGAUUGACCCCCUCCGCCCCGCAGUUCACACAAUAAUUAAUCCACCGGGGGAGUACGACCGCAAGGUUGAAACUCAAAGGAAUUGACGGGGGCCCGCACAAGCAGUGGAGUAUGUGGUUUAAUUCGACGCAACGCGAAGAACCUUUCCAAGUCCUGACAUCCCUUGACGAUGGUGGAAACAGUAUUUCUUUUCGGAGCAAGGAGACAGGUGGUGCAUGGUUGUCGUCAGCUCGUGUCGUGAGAUGUUGGGUUAAGUCCCGCAACGAGCGCAACCAUUAUGGUCAGUUAUUACGCAAGAGGACUCUGGCCAGACUGCCGUUGACAAAACGGAGGAAGGUGGGGAUGACGUCAAAUCAUCACUGCCCUUUAUGACUUGGGCUACACACGUACUACAAUGGCGUUAAACAAAGAGAAGCAAGACCGCGAGGUGGAGCAAAACUCAGAAACAACGUCCCAGUUUGGACUGCAGGCUGCAACUCGCCUGCACGAAGUUGGAAUUGCUAGUAAUCGUGGAUCAGCAUGCCACGGUGAAUACGUCCCCGGCCUUUGUACUCACCGCCCUUC